rnacentral:rRNA from 1 species
GACGAACGCUGGCGGCGUGCUUAACACAUGCAAGUCGAGCGGUAAGGCCCUUUCGGGGGUACACGAGCGGCGAACGGGUGAGUAACACGUGGGUGACCUGCCUUUAGCUCUGGGAUAAGCCUGGGAAACCGGGUCUAAUACCGGAUAUGACUCCGCGGCGCAUGUUGUGGGGUGGAAAGCCUUGUGCGGCUGGAGAUGGGCCCGCGGCCUAUCAGCUUGUUGGUGGGGUGAUGGCCUACCAAGGCGACGACGGGUAGCCGGCCUGAGAGGGCGACCGGCCACACUGGGACUGAGACACGGCCCAGACUCCUACGGGAGGCAGCAGUGGGGAAUCUUGCGCAAUGAGCGAAAGCUUGACGCAGCGACGCCGCGUGAGGGAAGAAGGCCUUC